UUCUUAUUAAUUUAUUUAUAAUAGGUAUAAUCUGUCCAGUGAAUAAUUUAAACGGCUAUAAUUAUAUUAAAGUAGCGUAAUAAUUUGUCAUUUAAUUAAUGAAUAUAAUGAAGAUUUUAUGAAUUAAAUACUGUCUCUAAAAUAUAAAACAAAAUUAAUAGUUUAGUGAAAAAGCUUAAUUAUUUUUAAAAGACGAUAAGACCCUAUAGAACUUAUUUUAAAUUUUAAAUUUACUGGGGAAGUAAAAAUAAAAACAAAAUUAUUUUUGAAUAUAAAAACUUGAAGUUUUUUUAACCACUAAUUAGUGAUUAAAAAGUUACCUUAGGGAUAACAGCAUUAAAAAUAUAAAAAGUUCUUAUUUUAAUAUUUUUUAAUGACCUCGAUGUUGAAUUAAGAUAUAAUUAAAAAGUAAAAAUUUUAUUUAAUAAGGUCUGUUCGACCUUUAAAAUCUU
rnacentral:rRNA from 1 species